CGGCGUGCCUAAUACAUGCAAGUCGAACGCAUUUGUGGUUGAAAUGAUAUGAAGAACUUGUUCAAGAUUUGAUUUUCAACAUUGCAAUGAGUGGCGAACGGGUGAGUAACACGUGGGAAACCUACCUCUUAGCAGGGGAUAACAUUUGGAAACAAAUGCUAAUACCGUAUAAUAAUUAAAACCGCAUGGUUUUAGUUUAAAAGAUGGUCUUGCUAUCACUAAGAGAUGGUCCCGCGGUGUAUUAGUUAGUUGGUGAGGUAAUGGCUCACCAAGACAAUGAUACAUAGCCGAGUUGAGAGACUGACCGGCCACAAUGGGACUGAGACACGGCCCAUACUCCUACGGGAGGCAGCAGUAGGGAAUCUUCCACAAUGGACGAAAGUCUGAUGGAGCAACGCCGCGUGUGUGAUGAAGGGUUUCGGCUCGUAAAACACUGUUGUAAGAGAAGAAUGACAUUGAGAGUAACUGUUCAAUGUGUGACGGUAUCUUACCAGAAAGGAACGGCUAAAUACGUG
rnacentral:rRNA from 1 species